CAUGUGCCAACACAUUGGCGCAGUAACAUGUGCCAUCGUACCUCCCCGCUCCUUGCAUCCCCCCUCUCCAAGAUCCGACAAUAAAAUCCGCUUCUAGAAAGAGUUCUCACGGUAAAAAUGCCGAAGACCGUCUCCGUGGAAUCUGGGCAAAUGAUCAAUUGACAGAAGGAAACUUUCAGACUGCAAUUGCAAAUGAUUCUCAUUUCCAUUUCUUUCUUUUUAGAGUUAACAUCGGUCCUUAAUUCAGUUAGCUGCUAUAUAUCAAG
rnacentral:lncRNA from 1 species